CGGCGUGCCUAAUACAUGCAAGUCGAACGGUCUUUCUAUGGAAGCUUGCUUCCACUGAGAAGAUAGUGGCGAACGGGUGAGUAACAACGUGGGUAACCUGCCCAUAAGAGGGGGAUAACAUCCGGAAACGGGUGCUAAUACCGCAUAGUUUUCUUGAUCGCAUGAUCGGGAAAGGAAAGACGGCCUUUGUGCUGUCGCUUAUGGAUGGACCCGCGGCGUAUUAGUUAGUUGGUGAGGUAACGGCUCACCAAGACGAUGAUACGUAGCCGACCUGAGAGGGUGAUCGGCCACAUUGGGACUGAGACACGGCCCAAACUCCUACGGGAGGCAGCAGUAGGGAAUCUUCCGCAAUGGACGAAAGUCUGACGGAGCAACGCCGCGUGAGUGAAGAAAAGGUUUUCGGAUCGUAAAACUCUGUUGUCAGAGAAGAACAAGUUGGAGAGUAACUGCUCCAGCCUUGACGGUAUCUGACCAGAAAGCCACGGCUAACUACGUGCCAGCAGCCGC
rnacentral:rRNA from 1 species